AAUGUAUUUUGUGAUUUUAUGAUUGGUUGUAUGCGAACAAAAGAGUGAGUAUAAAUAAAAAGAGAAGGAAGCUCUUGGGACAAAUCAUUUCUCUUGGAGAGAACGACCCAACGCUGCCUGAACCUCCAGACUGAGAGCAGACUAUCGGUGUACACGCCCUUUACAGAGUGAGCCAUCAGAGAAAUACACAGUAAAAACAACAGGAACUAUGGGUGACCAGGCAGCAGAAAAGGAAAAAAACAAACAUAAAAAACUCCAGGAAAUGAAGGCAAAUCCAGAAACUCUCCAUGAGUGCAGAGGAAACAAAACCAUGUUUUACACUCCCAAUCCAGAAGUGUGGGCAACAGUCAUAAGGGAAGCUUGUUCUGAUGCCGAGGAGAAAACCAUCCAUGUCUUCUGUACCCCUGAAGGCACCAUAAAGGUGCAUCCUAAUGGAAAGUGUGUGAUGUGCUCAAAACAGCAGGGGGAGCACUUUCAAAAGAAGUUUGAGGAACUCAAGUCCACAGUGGCAGAGAAACAGGGGAACAAAUAGACUCUAAUAGCAGGUUUAAGCUUAAAUGACGACUGACAAACUGGUCAGUCAGAGCAGCAGCUUGGACACAAACCGAAUAAUACAACAACUGGUUCCAGCUAGAAGUUUCAUAUUUCACUCUUUACCACCAUUUCAGUUCCACUAUAUUAAUCACUGUAGAGAGAGAAUAAAUUAGGUUUAACAUGAUGUUUAAUGGGUAAACUGGGUUAUCUAAUCAAUGAAACGUCGGCUUUUUUAUUUGAAAAUGUAUUUGUGACAUUCUACACAAUUUUGGUGUUUUUGUGUGUUUAUUGUGAUUUUGUCAGAAUAGUAAUGCUACUAAAUCUUUGGAUUGUGUCUUAUGAUCUCAGUCUAUCUGUAGGUUAUAGAGGAAUAACACAGCAGCUUGAACGUACUGAGCAGGUGGUAGUUUGAGUCUCUCUCAUAUUUGAAGGUCAGUCUUCCAUAGCUGACAUGGUUGAGAUUCUUCAGCCACUCGAAAUAAGAUACUGUCACACCACCAGCGUUCAGGUACAUGUCCUGCAAGAUGAAACAUCAGUCAGAUCAGCUUGUUUGGACCAGUCUUCACAUUUCACUCUGCAGAAUUGUUUGAAUAAAUUAUCCUCUGUUCUGCAAAAAUGUCUUCAAUGAUGUUUUGAUUUUCAAAGAUGUGUUUUUUUCUGUACAAUAAGGACAUUGAAAUACAGUGAAAAACUAAACAGUCUGGAAAAUUAUUAAUCUGACAAGCAAAAAAAAAAUCUAAACUGGUUCAAAGAGCAAGAAGAAGCUGAAAGAUAUAUAAGAAAAUUUUUUAAAAAGCUCAGAGUGAAAGUCUGUUUUUCACAUAAUAAAGGCCGUUUAAUUAUUGUGAACAAUGUUCACAAGAAUUUAUUCUA